GGACGUGAGGGCGAUCCAGCUGCAACAUCGUCACCCCACCUUUGGCCAGCGUUGACACGGCUGAUCUUGCAGGCUAGGCAGGGGUCCCCUUCCUCCCUCCCCGCUCCACGUGCGUCCCUCCCGAAGCUGCCCGCUCGGUCGAAAAGGACCUUCCCCGAUAGAGGAGGACUGUUCUUCGGUCAAGGGUAUACGAGUAGCUGCUUCCCUGCUAGAACCUCCAAAUAAGCUCUCGAGGCAGCAGUGGUUGAGUCAACUGUGCUGCUAACUGCUGAGACCCGAAUCAGUCCACCAGAGUGAGUGACACAGAGUCACUGGUGG
ensembl:misc_RNA 7SK 7SK RNA